GACGAACGCUGGCGGCGUGCUUAACACAUGCAAGUCGAACGAAGAGCGACGGAAGCUUGCUUCUAUCAAUCUUAGUGGUGAACGGGUGAGUAACGCGUAAUCAACCUGCCCUUCAGAGGGGGACAACGGUUGGAAACGACUGCUAAUACCGCAUACGAUCUAAUCUCGGCAUCGAGGAUGGAUGAAAGGUGGCCUCUAUUUAUAAGCUAUCACUGAAGGAGGGGUUUGCGUCUGAUUAGCUAGUUGGAGGGGUAACGGCCCACCAAGGCGAUGAUCAGUAGCCGGUCUGAGAGGAUGAACGGCCACAUUGGGACUGAGACACGGCCCAGACUCCUACGGGAGGCAGCAGUGGGGAAUCUUCCGCAAUGGACGAAAGUCUGACGGAGCAACGCCGCGUGAGUGAUGACGGCCUUCGGGUUGUAAAGCUCUGUUAAUCGGGACGAAAGGCCUUCUUGCGGAUAGUUAGAAGGAUUGACGGUACCGGAAUAGAAAGCCACGGCUAACUACGUGCCAGCAGCCGCGGUAAUACGUAGGUGGCAAGCGUUGUCCGGAAUUAUUGGGCGUAAAGCGCGCGCAGGCGGAUUGGUCAGUCUGUCUUAAAAGUUCGGGGCUUAACCCCGUGAUGG
rnacentral:rRNA from 1 species